GUGAACAAAUGGGAAAAGAUUAGUUUAUGUGCUAAAUAAGAAUCAAGAAGGUAUGCUUUGGAGGAUGUAUUAUAAAAUUUGAACGAGCAAUCUCAACAAAGCCAUCAAACUUGAUGACUAAAACAUAUACCAGUGAGAUCAUUUUUGCUAAUUCAAAUUGGCUGGAGAAGGAUAAUGAGAUAGAGGAAGAUGUGAAUAGCAGAAUUAGAUCAGACAAGUUGUGAUA
rnacentral:lncRNA from 1 species